GCAAUGGUGUCUUUAGACACCACCCUUUUUCUUUGAUUUUUGUUGU
rfam:Picea glauca, whole genome shotgun sequence.